CUUGAUAGGGUUUUCCCUUCCUUUGAGAGGAGAACAUUCUCAAGGCAGAUUUUCAAGCUGAAGUCAUCCAGAACAAAAGCUGCUUGCCAGCUGUGGCCCAGCAGCCCAGCACCCCCCCCCCCUUCCCCCUGCAGCCCCAGUGCCAUUACCGCCUAAUGGGAGAGGGGUGUGAAAACUUCCGGCGAAACAUCUGGUCCGGGCCACUGUCAGCUGGCGAGACGGAGACCAGCGAGUUCCCCAUCUGAUUUCCUGAGACUGCUAGAGUGCCGAAGCCAAAGAGAAAUAGACUUCUGCUUGGCCUGUGCUUGUGAACUCAGGCCCGUGAGAAUGAGGACUCACUCUCUGCUUAGUAUAUGGACGAUCUGAAGGGCAGACUUCUAGCAACCUGGUGGUGGUCUGGACGUGUUCAUGUCUAAAACUUGUAGCAGAAGGCCUGUUGGAGUCUCCGCCUCUGAAGGAGGUGAGGGUUCCCUUUGUUCCCUCUCUGGAGUUACUCCGGAGCUAUACAGAUUAAGACCAGCAGAUGGCAUGCGGCGUCAGGAUCCUGGACACUUGGAACCUGGGAAAGCCAUCUUUUCUCUCCCAUAAAAUUCUGAACUUUAGUUAGGAAGAAAAGUGUGCUUAUUUCAGCUAUUAGCUAUUGUGCUUGAUAAUUUGGCUGUCUUUCUAGGAUGUCUAGGUUACCUGUGGUGGAAACAAAACUAAAUAUAACCCGGACACCAUUUUGCUUGCGUCUUAAACUGGAAACAGGCUUGUGCAGAACACUCUUGGGAGCCUCACCGGGUGGCGUGGAAUGGAACAGCAGGACAGGCAGAGGACAGAUUCCUGGAAGAAGAGAAUGAGAACUCCAUCCCUGUGUGUUGUGAGAGAAGAAGCAGAUGAUCAAUACAAUCCACUCCAUCCCCCUCCCCCAGCCCACAGCAAAGAUGCCUGGAAUUAGAGCGGAGUUUCCUAAUAUGCCUGCAUCAGGAAUAUAGCUGGAGAUAGCCGAAAGUAUCACUUCAGGGUUUGAAAAUAGAUCAUUUCCACACUUACCAGGCAAGAUUUAACUUCAUCUCCUUGUUUUCAGCUUAGCACCUUGGCCUGGGCCUCCUCUCGGCCUGGCAUCCCUGAGCAUGGGACUUCAGCAGAGAACAAAUGUCUAGUCUUCUAAGAAGAGAGAGAAGAGGACCGGAAGGGUGGAAAUAUAAAUGCCCGGCUGCGCAGAGGUGGAUGAGGGAACCCAGAGAUCUACCUUCUAUAGACCUUCAACCAAACUGUGUUUUAGCCUCAUGCUUCAUCUUCACUCUCUGCGGUAAGAACUUCCCAGCAUCCCUUGCAGCCAAAGAGCAGGCAUGUGCCCUAAGAUCCACCAAUCAAACACCCACAUGAAACUCUGACCCGGAAGUCAGCAACACGAGGAAACAGAUGGGAUUCUGAGCACUGUGCCUUCAUUUUGCAGGUGAAGGUGGUGGUGGCAGCAAUAUCCCUUCAGUAUGAGGUUCUGAGCUGCAUUCCUAGGGGUUUAGCCUUGAGCUUUUUCUUCUUCAGAUCUCCCGAUGCAUCUUAAUAAAUAACUUUUAAUGAAUUCUGCUUAAAGCAGCAUGGAUUUUAUAGUUUGCAAUUAAAAGAAAGAAAGAAAGAAAGAGAGAGAAAGAAAGAGAAAGAAAGAAAGCAAGCAGGCAGGCAAAAGAAAAGAAAAACUAAUAAACACAUUUGGUCAGUGAAAGUAGGGUAAAUCUAAAAACGUGGAAUUGGGUUUGGGGAUGGGAGCCACAGUUGGGUAGAGGUGAGGUAUCUUUUGUCAUGCACCAAGUGCUAGGGUUAGCCAUUACUGCUUUCCUAAAGGAGGUGCCCUCUGACUGUGGCCACAACCUAAGGUGGAGAAAAUCCCCAAGAUCUGGAGCUUUGAAAGGCUGACAAAGACAACCACUUCUUUAUCCCCCCAAAAAGCACUUAGAAACAAUGACAUCAAGCUAGUAGCCUCAGCUGGAAAUGCUAUGUGACUUUAUCUCAUCAAUUAAGAGUUCUCUGUAAGAGGGGCACCUGGAUGGCUCAGUCAGUUGAGUGUCUCUUGAUUUUUGACUCAGGUUGUGAUCCUGGGGUUGUGGCAUCAUGAGUUGGGCUCCAUGUGGAGUAUGGAGACUGCUUAGGAUUCUCUCUCUCUCUCUCUCUCUCUCUCUCUCCUCUGCCCUUCCCCCACUCGCACUCUUUCUCUGUCUCUCUAAAAUAAAAAUUAAAAAAAGAAAAGUUCUCAGAAAAAAACCUUGUUCAGACCCAUUGGAAAAUUUCAGGUUCAGGGGUGUCUCACCAUGAAAAGUUAUGAUUUCAAAUUGUCUCAAAGAAGCAGGCAUCGAAGAAGGAGUAGGAAGAGACAGAUCACUAAUGUCACAUGUAAAGAGAGGGAAUCUUCCUAUUUAAACACAGUCCACACAGGAUCUCUGGCUGUGUCUGUAUGCACAUGCAGUUGACAGGAAGUGGAAGAGAGGGCAACUAAGAUUUUUAGGAAACCCAUUGUCAAAGACACCUCAAGCCUGGCUGCCAACCGCCUGUGAUUUUAUCCUUAAAACUAAUCCUAGGCCACUAGUUCUGCACCAGCAUGAAGAAGUGUAUGGAAGGUGUGUAUUUUCCAAGAAAGCUAUGUUCUUUAUUACUCACCAAGCAUGAAUUAACAUGGGAUAAUUAGCAGGGAGUUCAUCCCAGAGGGCAGCUUCUAGAAUCACCAACCAAGUAAAUACCUGAGCUGGAAGUCAUCGCUAUUCUUAUUCAACAGGACUGAUUAUUUCCUUAUUGCUUAAUGACUGCCGAGGUCUCCCAUUCUUCUAUUUUUUAAACUGAAAUUUUACAAAUCUUUGGUUGUCCUGGUUUUUUUCUCCACUGUUUUUUAAUGGGUGUGUUGAGAGACAAUUUGUCUUGGAACUUUGGGCUUUCAAUAGAUAAUAGUUUGAAAAAUUAGUGUUACUAGAAGUCCUUACUAUUUAAAUAGAAGAUUCUUCAGAGGAAGAAAGACUAUAAUGAGAAGGAAUAUGUUCUGGACUCAAAAUAGUAGUCAGAUAUCUUAGCAAGGACUGAGAUCUUGAACAGUCUCCAGAUACCAGUAAGAAUCAUUGUAUUACCUUCUUUCUCAUCUGUUGGAUUUUUUUUUUCCUUAUUUUUACAUGUGGUGAAUGAACUGGGAGAGGAGAGGAGAAGUGGUCUAGAAAGGAUUAACAACCUACCAUUCAGUGACUCCCAGAGCUUUUUGCACAUGAAAUGGAUAAGGAAAAUGUCUGAGACAAACAAUCUGAAUUUUAAAUGCAGAUCAAAGUCCUUGCAGCAGCGAAGAAAGCCUAUGGGUAUUUCAUGGAGGUUUACCAAGAAAGCAGGCAUCUUUGCCUCCACUUCAUGAACUUAUAUUUUAAGAAGCUCAGCCAUUCCAGUCCAUGCAGAAAAAGACUCUCAAAGGAAUAUUUACAAUGUGGAUCUUAUAUUAAACAUUUGGUUUUAUAUGCUUAAAUAUUUAUAAAAGCAUAUGUGGAAUAAAUUUUAGUCCACAAACUGAA